UACGGGGGGAGCAAGCGUUGUUCGGAUUUACUGGGCGUAAAGGGCGGGUAGGCGGCCACCGCAAGUCAGUUGUGAAAUCUCUGGGCUUAACCCAGAAAGGUCAACUGAUACUGCGGGGCUAGAGUGCAGAAGGGGCAACUGGAAUUCUCGGUGUAGCGGUGAAAUGCGUAGAUAUCGAGAGGAACACCUGCGGCGAAGGCGGGUUGCUGGGCUGACACUGACGCUGAAGUGCGAAAGCUAGGGGAGCGAACGGG
rnacentral:rRNA from 1 species